rnacentral:rRNA from 1 species
CCCAGUGAUUUAUUUAACGGCCGCGGUAUCUUGACCGUGCAAAGGUAGCAUAAUAAUUUGCCUCUUAAUUAGGGGCUGGAAUGAAUGGAUAUACGAGGUUUUAGCUGUCUCUUCUUAGUAUUAAAAAUUGGUUUUCAGGUGAAGAAACCUGAAUUUUAGUAAAGGACAAAAAGACCCUAUUGAGCUUUAUUUAAACUAGAAAUUUUUAAGAUUAACUUACUUUAUUACUUUUAUUAAAUUUGGUUGGGGCAACAAAGAAAUAUAUAAAUUUUUCUUUAUUUAUUAGAGUUAUGUUUCGUAUAAAUGAUCUAUUAUUUAUGAUAUGUAGAAAGAGUUACCAUAGGGAUAACAGGCUAAUUCUUUUGUAGAGUUCAAAUUGAUAAAAGAGUUUGGCACCUCGAUGUUGGCUUAGGAUAUCCUGCGGGUGCAGAAGUCCGCGAGGGUUGGUUUGUUCAACCAUUAAAAUCCU